AAUUAAGCUCCGUUCCGUUGAAGCUCUCUGUUGCGCUGAACCUUUCCGUUGGUUGAAUUCGACCCUCAACAGAGGCUUGAAGAUUGAUCUCCGCACCGUCUUGAAUCUGCGAAGUGACACACCAAGCGAAACUGAGAUGAAUUAAGAUGCAGAGAACACUUACUCUUUGGUGGAAGCAUAAACAGAGACAAGUGGAUACGAAGGUGUGGCAGUGAUAGAACCCGACACUAUAUUCACGAUGGCACCUCUCUUCCUUUAAAUCAUCCCAAGAAGAACAGCCUUGAUCACCCUAUUAAUGGCUUCCGCAUUUACCUGAAUCAUAUCGUUAAGCAUUCUUCAUCCACUUCAUAGAAAAAUCUCGCGUAAGGGUAAGCAACCCUUGCGCAGUUCACCAGAACCCCAACAUCCAACCCUUCGAUGGCUCUCCCGAUCCGUUCAAUACCCUCCGACAGGUCACUGGCCAAGUCAAAGACAACAUUCCUGAUUUGGGUUCCUCCGUAUCAAGCCUUAAUGGCACCCGAAACCUAUUUAAGCUUCCCGGAGAAGUCGAUUAUCCCUCGCCGCUGCCUCACCCGCCAAAGCACAAAUUUGCUGCUAAAUUGUAAGUCUCGGAAGAGAUGUCGACUGCAGAGGACAGGUUUUGCACUUCCAUAAGGUGUUAGAGAUGAGGGUAAAUUUGUCUUUUUCAUUGUAUAUUUAACACCGAUAUUGAUUAAUGGGACGACAGUUAGAAUCUUGAAAAUUCAGGGGAGGGUGCUGUUAUACCGUUGUGUUUCAAACCAUAGGAAGGGAAGUGCUUAGGUAAAGUACGGGGGAGGGCAGGGAAGGGUAAUUUCCUCUUUAAUUUUUGGUUCCAGCUCAAGGGUUGGGAUGUAAACGGAUCGGAUAUAGAUCGAAUGUGUUCGGAUCUGAAUAUUUGUUGAACGGAUUCGAAGACCCCUAAACGAAUAUGGAUGCGGAUUAAAUUCGGAUAUUCAACUAUUCAUUUACUCUCGA